UACGAAGGGGGCUAGCGUUGCUCGGAAUCACUGGGCGUAAAGCGCACGUAGGCGGAUUUUUAAGUCAGGGGUGAAAUCCUGGAGCUCAACUCCAGAACUGCCUUUGAUACUGGGAAUCUCGAGUCCGGGAGAGGUGAGUGGAACUGCGAGUGUAGAGGUGAAAUUCGUAGAUAUUCGCAAGAACACCAGUGGCGAAGGCGGCUCUCUGGGACGGUACUGACGCUGAGACGCGAAAGCGUGGGGAGCGAACAGG
rnacentral:rRNA from 1 species